UAAAAAAAAAAAAAAAAAAUAAAAUAAGUGUAUUAGAAAAUGAGACUUGUUAGAAAAUGAGGCUUAUUAGAAAAUGAUACUAAUACUUCACUAAUACUGAAGGUGGGAAGAGAGAGAGAAAUAAAGGUAAAAUAGGACUGGCUGGAUCAGCUGGUGGCUGCUAAGGUACAGGGACAGCUUUACGAGGGGCCACGGUAUUCUCUAGGGCUAUGGAUGCAGUUCAGUGGCCGAGCACUGUCCUCACAUAUAUAAAGCCCAGGGUCCUUCUGUCCAUCCUUCCUUCUGGGUCGAGGAUCCCGGGCUUUACAUACACCAGAAGGAAGGAUGGACAGAAGGAAGAGAGAAAGGAAAGGUGGGACUCAUAUAGCUUUGCAUACAUUUAACAUAAAGCCCUUGAGGAAGAUGAUUUUUCAUUCAGGACAUGACAGGAAUUACCUGAAGGUGAAGCUUUCCCCUUUCCGGUCUUGCAGUGGGUUUUCCUGGAUGAUGUCCUGGGUUUGGGUCAGAGGUGAGCUCUGUCGUGGGGAUUUGAAGUGGCCGGCAUUGUCACAGGACCGUAUCGAAGGAGGGCCCUUUUUCUUCCGUGGAAGAGUACCGUGUAUAGACACGUCUUGAUAGGCAUCUGUGUGGCGCUCAGCAAGAGGGGACUUGCUGCUCAGGAGGUCCAUGGACGAGGCUAAGGGGAACUGGUGAUUCACAGGCAUGUUUCUGGGAAGGCUUGCAAACUUUCCUGCAGCCAUGAUUCUUAGCUCU
rnacentral:lncRNA from 1 species